rnacentral:lncRNA from 10 species
GCCAGCAUGAUUUAGUUCCCAGGGUAAGUAAACUCCUCCUUUCUGGAUGAGAUGAAGCCUUGAGACAAUAAAAAUGUGCCCCUCCUCCAAUAUGUAGGUGAUAGUACCAGCUAAGCCAGAGAGGAGGGAUGAGGCCCCUUCUUGAUGACAUAGCCUUUUGGGAGAUGGACCAACAAGAAGGUGCUGAACCUGAUGAUGGGGAGCUGUGGGAAUGGGAGAGCCAGCAUCAGCCUCAUGUUGCCACUGUCAUCAUGGCGUAGCCUCUGCUGUCCUGAGAGCUCUCUGUGGAGCAACUCACCUGACUCUCACAACAGCACCAUGAGGAACUCAGGGUCAACACCAUCACCAUUUCCAGGAAGCCAGUUUCCAGUGACUCAGCAGAUCCACCACGGAGUGCCAGGCCAUGUGCAGGGCUCUGGGCUCAGAGAGAACGAUUGUUCAUGUGCCUGUGACCAUGAGAAGUUCAUAGUCAGAUGGCGGAGGCAGACCUGCCAGCAACACACACCACCCACCUGCAAAGCGCCAGAUGAGAGGUCACAGCAAUGGCUGCCAUUCCAUGACCACCUGCUGUCAACAGCGCUACUCAGUUAGGGCCUACUGUGUGCCAGCCUGGGGCCAGGAGAGUCACAGGUGUUGUCAUUAGCUCUCACAACAACCUUCCUUGUUGGAAUGUAAUUUAUUCUGAACAGCUUUAUUGAUGUAUAAUUUGCGUACAGUAAACGAUGCAUAUUUAAAGUAUAAAAUUGCAUACCUUUGACAUGUAAACACCCAUGAAAUCAUCAUAAUCAAGAUAAUGAGUUCCCUCACACCCCUUAGCAAUCUCUCUCUUUUGCUCCCUGUCCCCAUUCCCAAUCACUGAUCUGCUGUGACUAUAAAUUAGUUUGUAUUUUCAAGAGUUUUAUAUAAAUGAAAUAUUUCAGUAUGUCUGGCUUCUUUCACUCACAAUAAUUAUUUUGAGAAUCAUUCCUGAUACAGCACAUGUGAACAGUCCAUCAACAGUCCAUUCCUUUUUGUAGAUGAGUAGUAUCCCAUUGUAUGGAGAUCCCACAAUUAUUUGUAUCCAUUGUUUGAUGAACACGUGAACUGUGUCCAGGUUGUGGCUCUUACAAAUAGAGCAGCUAUGAAAGAAUGUUCAUUCAGGUAUAAGUCUUUGUGUGGACAAACGCUGACAUUUGUCUUGGAUAAAUUCCUCGGAGUGGAAUUACUAUACCAUCUGAUAAGUGUAUUUUCAACUUUUUAAGAAACUACCAAACUGUUUUCCAAAAUGGUUGUAUUAUUUUAUAUCAUCACCAAGAGUGCCAGAGAGCUCCAUUUCCUCCACAUCCUUGCCAGCACAUGAUAUGUUCAGUCUUCAUAAUUUUAGCCAUUCUAAUAAAUAUGUAGUAACAUCUCACUGUAGUGUUAACUUUUGAUUCCCUAAUAACCAAAGGGUCAGAGCAUCUUUUCAUUUGUUUGUCAUCUGUAUAUCUUCUGUGAUAAAGUGUCUGUUCAGGUCUUUUGCUAUUUUUUGUUGGGUUUUUUACUGAGUUUUGAGAAUCUUUGUAUAUUCUGGAUAAAAGUCCUUUACUAAAUAUAUGCCUUGCAAAUAUCUUCCCCUAGGUUGUGUCUUCUCUUUUCAUUCUCCUAUCGGAGUCUUUUAAAGAGCAAUGGUUUUUUUCUUUUGAUGACGUCCAACUUAUCAUUUUGUUCUUUUAUGGAUCAUACUUUUUCUGCCACAUUGAAGCAAUCUUGAUCUAAAAUAAGGCUGUAAAAUUUUUUCUAUGUUGUCUUCAAGUUGUUUUGUAGUUUUAAAUUUUACAUUUAGAUCUAUCAUACAUUUCCAGUCAAUUUUUGUAUAUGGUACAAGGUAGGGAUCAAAGUUUCCUUUUUGUUUGUUUGCUUUGUUUUAUGACUAUCCAGUUGUUCCUCCACCAUUUGUUGAGGAGACUAUUCUUACUCUCCUGAAUUGCCUUCAUGCUGUGGUCAAAAAUCACUUGUAAAUCUUUACAUAAGUUUAUUUCUAGACCCUCUACUGUUUCACUGAUCUAUUUAUCUUGACGCCAAUAUCUCCUGCUUUGAUUGCUGUAACUUUAUAAUUCAAAAUUGGGGACUGAAUCUGUACUUCUUUUUUUGUUCGUUUUGGCUUGUUUUUAAGACAGGGUCUCACUCUGUUGCCCAGGCUGGAGUACAGUGGCAUAAACAAGGCCCACUGCAGGCCUGAAUUCCUGGGCUCGUGUGAUCCUCCCACCUCAGCGUCCAGAGUAGCUGGGACUGCAAGCACGUGCCACCAUGCCCAGCUAAUUUUUUUUAUUUUUGUUUUUUGGAGAGACAGGUUCUCACUAUGUUGCUCAGGGUGGUCUCAAAUCCCUGGGUUCAAGCGAUCCUCUCACCUUGGCCUCCCAAAUUGCUGGGAUUACAGACAUGAGCCACCACGCCUGAACCUUAACCUGUACUUCUUUUACAAAGUUGCUUUGGCUUUUAUAGGUCCUUUGAAUUUCCAUGUGCAUUUAGAAUCUGCUUCUCAAUUUCUACAAAAAAAA